rnacentral:rRNA from 1 species
UACGAAGGGGGCUAGCGUUGCUCGGAAUCACUGGGCGUAAAGGGUGCGUAGGCGGGUCUUUAAGUCAGGGGUGAAAUCCUGGAGCUCAACUCCAGAACUGCCUUUGAUACUGAAGAUCUUGAGUUCGGGAGAGGUGAGUGGAACUCCGAGUGUAGAGGUGAAAUUCGUAGAUAUUCGGAAGAACACCAGUGGCGAAGGCGGCUCACUGGCCCGGUACUGACGCUCAUGUGCGAAAGCGUGGGGAGCAAACAGG